UACGAAGGGGGCUAGCGUUGCUCGGAAUUACUGGGCGUAAAGCGCACGUAGGCGGAUUGUUAAGUCGGGGGUGAAAUCCUGGAGCUCAACUCCAGAACUGCCUUCGAAACUGGCGAUCUUGAGUCCGGGAGAGGUGAGUGGAACUGCGAGUGUAGAGGUGAAAUUCGUAGAUAUUCGCAAGAACACCAGUGGCGAAGGCGGCUCACUGGCCCGGUACUGACGCUGAGGUGCGAAAGCUAGGGGAGCAAACGGG
rnacentral:rRNA from 1 species